CCUACGGGUGGCAGCAGUGGGGAAUAUUGCACAAUGGGGGAAACCCUGAUGCAGCCACGCAGCGUGAGGGAAGACGUCUUUCUGUAUGUAAAGCUCUAUCAACAGGGAAGUUAAUGACUGUACCUGAGUGAUAAGCCCCGGCUAACUACGUGCCAGCAGCGGCGGUAAUACGUAGGGGGCAAGCGUUAUCCGGAUUUACUGGGUGUAAAGGGAGCGUAGACGGCAUGGCAAGUCUGAAGUGAAAGCCCGGGGCUCAACCGCGGGACUGCAUUGGAAACUGUUAAGCUGGAGUGCAGUAGAGGUAAGUGGAAUUCCUAGUGUAGCGGUGAAAUGCGUAGAUAUUAGGAGGAACACCAGUGGCGAAGGCGGCUUACUGGACUGUAACUGACGUUGAGGCUCGAAAGCGUGGGGAGCAAACAGGAUUAGAUACCCCAGUAGUC
rnacentral:rRNA from 1 species